rnacentral:rRNA from 1 species
UACGUAGGGUGCGAGCGUUGUCCGGAAUUAUUGGGCGUAAAGAGCUCGUAGGCGGUGUGUCACGUCGUUCGUGAAAACCUGCAGCUUAACUGUGGGCGUGCGGUCGAUACGGGCAUCACUGGAGUUCGGCAGGGGAGACUGGAAUUCCUGGUGUAGAGGUGAAAUUCGUAGAUAUCAGGAGGAACACCGGUGGCGAAGGCGGCUUCCUGGACACUUACUGACGCUGAGACGCGAAAGCGUGGGGAGAAA